rnacentral:rRNA from 1 species
UACGUAGGGUGCAAGCGUUAAUCGGAAUUACUGGGCGUAAAGCGUGCGCAGGCGGCUUUGCAAGACAGAUGUGAAAUCCCCGGGCUUAACCUGGGAACUGCAUUUGUGACUGCAUAGCUAGAGUUUGUCAGAGGCGAGUGGAAUUCCUGGUGUAGCGGUGGAAUGCGCAGAUAUCAGGAGGAACACCAACGGCGAAGGCAGCUCGCUGGGACGGUACUGACACUGAGGCGCGAAAGCGUGGGGAGCGAACAGG